UACGUAGGGGGCAAGCGUUGUCCGGAUUCAUUGGGCGUAAAGAGCGUGUAGGCGGCCAGGUAGGUCGGUUGUGAAAACUGGAGGCUCAACCUUCAGAGGUCGACCGAAACCAUCUGGCUAGAGUCCGGGAGAGGAGAGUGGAAUUCCUGGUGUAGCGGUGAAAUGCGCAGAUAUCAGGAAGAACACCCGUGGCGAAGGCGGCUCUCGUCGGG
rnacentral:rRNA from 1 species